rnacentral:rRNA from 1 species
GUGAACGCUGGCGGUAGGCCUAACACCUGCAAGUCGAACGGCAGCACAGUAAGAGCUUGCUCUUCCGGGUGGCGAGUGGCGGACGGGUGAGGAAUACAUCGGAAUCUACUUUUUCGUGGGGGAUAACGUAGGGAAACUUACUCUAAUACCGCAUACGACCUACGGGUGAAAGCAGGGGAUCUUCGGACCUUGCGCGAUUGAAUGAGCCGAUGUCGGAUUAGCUAGUUGGCGGGGUAAAGGCCCACCAAGGCGACGAUCCGUAGCUGGUCUGAGAGGAUGAUCAGCCACACUGGAACUGAGACACGGUCCAGACUCCUACGGGAGGCAGCAGUGGGGAAUAUUGGACAAUGGGCGCAAGCCUGAUCCAGCCAUACCGCGUGGGUGAAGAAGGCCUUCGGGUUGUAAAGCCCUUUUGUUGGGAAAGAAAAGCAGCAGGUUAAUACCCCGCUGUUCUGACGGUACCCAAAGAAUAAGCACCGGCUAACUUCGUG